GAUGAACGCUGGCGGCGUGCCUAACACAUGCAAGUCGAGCGCACGGACGAGAAGCUUGCUUCUCUGAUGUUAGCGGCGGACGGGUGAGUAACACGUGGAUAACCUACCUAUAAGACUGGGAUAACUUCGGGAAAGCGGAGCUAAUACCAGGUAAUAUUUUGAACCGCAUGGUUCAAAUGUGAAUGACGGUCUUGCUGUCUCUUAUAGAUGGAUCCGCACUGUCUUUGCUAGUUCUUAAGGUAACGUCUUUCCCAGGCAACGAUGCAUAGCCGACCUGAGAGAGUGGUCGGCCACCCUGGAUGUGAGGACCGGUCGAGACUCCUACGAGAGGCAGCAGUAGGGAAUCUUCCGGUAUGGAGGAAAGCCGGAUAGUGGAAAACCGCGUGAGCGAUGAAGGUCUCAGGAUCGUAAAAAUCUGUUAUUAUGGAAGAACAAAAGUGUAAGUAGCUGUGCACAUCUUGACGGUACCUGAACAGAAAGCCACGGCUAACUACGUG
rnacentral:rRNA from 1 species